GACGAACCGAGCGAACGUUGUUCGGAAUCACUGGGCGUAAAGGGCGCGUAGGCGGCCUGAUAAGUAGGGGGUGAAAUCCUGCGGCUUAACCGCAGGGCUGCCUUCUAAACUGUCAGGCUUGAGCACAGUAGAGGCAGGUGGAAUUCCCGGUGUAGCGGUGGAAUGCGUAGAGAUCGGGAAGAACAUCAGUGGCGAAGGCGGCCUGCUGGGCUGUUGCUGACGCUGAGGUGCGACAGCGUGGGGAGCAAACAGG
rnacentral:rRNA from 1 species